CCAACGGCCCUCUUUAGGGCCACAUUUUCGCUCGAAUACGAGAAA
rfam:Ancylostoma ceylanicum strain HY135 Acey_s0571_scaf, whole genome shotgun sequence.